CAUUUGUAGGAAGACCAUUCCUGGAGAUGUCAAAGGUCACUUAAAAAGAUAUUCAUCAGAUUUGCAGAAAAAGCAAACCCCGGAGGAAGCUGAGGCAUGGCUGCUCGAGAGCCAGCCUGCCAUGUGCAAUGUUCCUCUGAUAGUUAAAAAAAAAAGAUAUUCAUUUAAUGACCAAC
ensembl:snoRNA